CUGGAUGGGCAGGGGUCCACGGCGCACUGCAUCAACGUGCAGACGGGAUUUUAUCCGUUUCAUUUGGUGCAUUAUCGGUGCAGCACGCGAAAACACCGCGCCCUCUCCGGGGCGACGGACAGGUGAACGUUUUCGAGGCGCGUCGUAAUUAUUAUAUUGUUUCGAACGCGCGGUGCACGAUGCGGGCGUCCCGUAUUCCCGCGGAGCCUGUUUAGAAAAAAAAAAUGAAGUUAAAAAAUGAAAAAUUACCGAGCCACCGUUUGUGUAAAUAAUAUAGCGCGUCACGAUUGUUCCGAUGCGCGUCGUCGCAGAGAGGAGAAAGAGCCCCUCGCCGCCCCCCAUCACCCCAUACCCUCCGGACGCGGAAUACGUGCGGACGGCGGCGAUUCGGGGUUUCGACCACCCCUCCGUCGUUGUCGUCGUCACCGUCGCUUCCCACCCCCGCCGCGGGUAUUUCGACUGUGAAAUUAGUCGUCGAUGGCGGACGGACGAGAGGUGGCGC